rnacentral:rRNA from 1 species
GUCGAACGAACUCUCCGUUAAUUGAUCAGGACGUGCUUGCACUGAAUGAGAUUUUAACACGAAGUGAGUGGCGGACGGGUGAGUAACACGUGGGUAACCUGCCCAGAAGCAGGGGAUAACACCUGGAAACAGAUGCUAAUACCGUAUAACAGAGAAAACCGCCUGGUUUUCUUUUAAAAGAUGGCUCUGCUAUCACUUCUGGAUGGACCCGCGGCGCAUUAGCUAGUUGGUGAGGUAACGGCUCACCAAGGCGAUGAUGCGUAGCCGACCUGAGAGGGUAAUCGGCCACAUUGGGACUGAGACACGGCCCAGACUCCUACGGGAGGCAGCAGUAGGGAAUCUUCCACAAUGGACGCAAGUCUGAUGGAGCAACGCCGCGUGAGUGAAGAAGGGUUUCGGCUCGUAAAGCUCUGUUGUUAAAGAAGAACGUGGGUGAGAGUAACUGUUCACCCAGUGACGGUAUUUAACCAGAAAGCCACGGCUAACUACGUGCCAGCAGCCGCGGUAAUACGUAGGUGGCAAGCGUUAUCCGGAUUUAUUGGGCGUAAAGCGAGCGCAGGCGGUCUUUUAAGUCUAAUGUGAAAGCCUUCGGCUCAACCGAAGAAGUGCAUUGGAAACUGGGAGACUUGAGUGCAGAAGAGGACAGUGGAACUCCAUGUGUAGCGGUGAAAUGCGUAGAUAUAUGGAAGAACACCAGUGGCGAAGGCGGCUGUCUGGUCUGUAACUGACGCUGAGGCUCGAAAGCAUGGGUAGCGAACAGGAUUAGAUACCCUGGUAGUCCAUGCCGUAAACGAUGAUUACUAAGUG